AUCCACAUCAGUGUGUGAGUGGUGUCCAGAGCAGAUUAAGGAAAAAAAGACUCAUAUUUCAAAGGCAAGGAAGACCUUGGAUGUGCUGGUGUGUGCUUUGGAGUGGAAACCCAGCACAGCCUGAGUGGUACACUCAGAAAUGGGUAAUUCCAUUUCUUAUCUAGAAGAACACCAUGAACAGGUUAAGGGGGCAGAAGUGCAGCAGUUUGGCCAAGCUAUUCCAGAUGCUCCAGUUUCAGUUUACCCACAUUUCUCAUUGCAACAUCCUAUGAAAAGGAAAACCUCACCAAUAAUUUACAAAAUUUUGAGUUGGAUUCGUGGCCAGUGUUUCACAGUGAGGAAUCCCCUCAGCAGGCCUGGGCUGCAGCUGGACAUUGACCGAUGCAUUUUGCCCCCCUGGAACAGCUCUGGUGGACACCAGAAGGUCCAAAUCUCUCUGAUGUUACCUCAUCACAGCAGACAACAAGAUUUUUUAUAUUCUGACUCAUUUAUAAGAUGCCCAAUAUUUUUGUUUUUAUUUUAUUAUCCCAAAUGUAUGAUAAAAAUCAUAAAACCUGAGAAUUGUUUGGUGUGGGAUGGACCAUAAAGACUAUCACUGUUCCAACACCUUCUGCUGGAUCAAGUUGCUCCAAGCCCCAUCCAACCUGGCCUUGAAGAAUUCUAUUUGAUGUUCACUUGAUAUUUUAUCUCUUCAUUGUUUUAUUUACCUGCAUGUAAAUCAGGUUUCUAAUCCAAUUCUGAAAGCUUGGGGUUUUUUUUAAUAAAAUCUUUAAUAGUGUGUCUGCCUGCUUUAAU
rnacentral:lncRNA from 1 species